CGCAGUUUUCAAACAGACGACGAGCCGAAGAUGAGAGAAUAUAGUUGCAAGAUACAGAAGAAUAAGAAAACGUCAUAUUUGAAAUGUAUCAAGGGAUGACACAGAGACCUCUUGUUCUGAGAAAGACAGUGAGCCAGAGCUGCCAGGAGAUGUUCAGCACUUAUAAACACAACAGAGUGACCCAAUACUUUUCUCAAUAGAGCAACUGAACUGGUCUGCCAAGAAUCACAUGACCAUGUUACCUCCUGCCCCAUGUUUCCACUAUUCUCAUUCUGGGACACCUGCACGCCAUGACUGGGCAAAUCGCCAGCCUUCCCUGUCACUGACCAAAACCACAUGGACUGCCAACUUUAUCAACCAGCAGUUCUCACUACACACCUCUCACUUUUUUUUUUUAAAUAA